rnacentral:misc_RNA from 1 species
GAUGAAGAACGCAGCGAAAUGCGAAAAGUAGUGUGAAUUGCAGAAUUCAGUGAAUCAUCGAAUCUUUGAACGCACAUUGCGCCCCUUGGUAUUCCAUGGGGCAUGCCUGUUCGAGCGUCAUUUUGUACCCUCAAGCACUGCUUGGUGUUGGGCGUUUGUCCUGCAGAGGACUCGCCUGAAAGCGAUUGGCGGCCAACGUAGUCGUGGCAGAGCGCAGCUCAAUCUCGCGUCUCUCCCCUCUGCGUCGGCGUCCAUGAAGCCCACAAUCUCAACGUUUGACCUCGGAUCAGGUAGGGAUACCCGCUGAACUUAAGCAUAUCAAUAAGCGGAGGA